UAACCCCACCCCCUCCUUUGCAGCUCCACCCAUUCCCUCUCGCCCAGGCCAGCCCAUUAAUGCCUUCAGCAACAGCAACCUGGAUCCUUUCAGUGCGCCUCCACAGAUCCCCUCCCGCCCUGCCCGCAUCCCUCCGGGUAUCCCCAGCAGAAGACCCCCUGGCGCUCCCAACCGGCCCACCAUUAUCCGCCCCACCGAGCCCUCCCUUCUAGACUAGACCCGUGCGCUGGCCAUCAUAGGCUGACAGAAAGAAAGAAAGAGAGAGAGAGAAAGGAAGGGCUGGAGAACUGCACUGAAACAUGUGCACGUGUGUCUACACAUACAGCCUGACCAGUAAACCUAAAUAAUCCACUCAAACUGUCCUCUGAUCAGCGCUGCUAAUCACAUCCUUACUUUUAAAGCCCAGAGGUCUAAAUUAAGCACAUAAAUAUUCAAAUAAAAUUAUUGUUGCUAUUAUUUUGUUAAACUAUAGAGUGAACUAAAGGGUGUAGUGGCCUCCAACUUUCAGUCAUUUCAUCACUCACAUAGGUCAGGUGACCACCAGGGGGUAUCCUACUCAACUUGUGUAGACAAACCAACAUUAGACUCAUGAAGCCUCCUCUCUGACUAGUGGUUUAAUGUGGGAUAAGAUGUGUACUGUUCUUGGGUAACUUAAGGGUGGUUGAAGAUUCUUUCUUGUUUUAGACGCACUUCAUGUGUUUUGUUUUCAUUCUGUGUUUUCUUGAAUCUCUAACUUGAUAUGCUGAAAUAAGACACCAUGACCGCUGUUAUUAUUGCUAUGUGGGAUUGAUUUUGAUCUGAUUUCUGUUUUUCAUGUUCAAUUGGCCGUUUGUUAUGUUUGAUUCCCUUCAAAACGGCACUUAGUACCAAGAGACUGUUAAUUAUGACUCCGUAGCAGCUAACCAAUCAGAAAUGCAAACAUUCAAGUUCAUAAUUCAAAAACCUAGAUGUUGAUGCUCAUGUUUGGUGUUAGCAGGCAACAUCCUCUUUCUGUUGGCCGGGAAAUUUGGUUCUUGAAAAGCACUUCCGGUUUUCUAGUGAUGGGAAUUUCUUAGGUAGUCAGAGAAGGAGGAGGUGCAAUUUGUAUGCAAAUCUCUGUAAUGAUCUGUUUAUAUAAAUAAUAUUUUGUGUAUAUGAAUAUAAUCCUGGAAAGCAUGGUAACCACUCGUGACGGGCCGACCCGUCAGAGCUCAGGUAACAUCCGACUCCAAAUCUGGUAACAGUUUACGCUAGCUUAGCGUUCUGAUUGUUGUAACUUAAAUUAAUUGGCAAGGCCUUAUGGGGCGCUUUUAUUUUCGCAUUCAGGGAUGGUGAGGGUCAGGGGAGCGAUUAUGAGCGGGAAGAACAACAGGAAGUGGGAAUGCACUCAAACACAAGUCACUGAACAUGGUACAUGCAGGUGUAUUUGGCAUUGUGGAGCGUUUGCUUUAUGGAACCAGUCCGUUCUCGCCUACAAAAACACAGGGAACUUUCUGAACGCAAAAAAACGGUGAACCUUUAAUGUAGAUAUCAUAGUAAAUGUACUAAGGCGUAUUUCUGAGUGUAUUAUUUAUAACCUGGGCAUUUGUCUUUGUGUUUGCAUUUUUCACAAACUGUUUGCUUCGGAGUAGAACGACAGCUAUUCUUCGCUAUUGACAGAUUUGUGCCCCGUCAGUUGCGUAAACAAUGGUUGAACAGAAUUCAGAGUGAAAGCGGUCCAGCUGGUUUCCUGUUGAUCCUGUUUUGAUUGCAGAAUCUUUGCCGUUUGCUUUUAUUGAUGUGUGUGCAAGGAAAUGAGCCAUGACAAAUGUUGUUUUCUUGAUUAACUUUAGGAUAAGAAUAGGGAUUUUGGUGUAAGCGGGAGCGGGGGUCUUUGAUUUUAGCGCCAAUUUGUCUGUAAAUAAUUGAAGGCUUGGAGUCGGACUUGAGAUUAAACUUAAAAAUUAGCUGCAGAAAUCAGGGCCGAACGCUCUUAAAUCACUCCUGUGUGUUAUGGCUACAGUGAUGGCAACCGCUGCUCCUUCUUCAGUCAGUUCAAGGCUUGAAUUAAAAUCGUAUCCAGCUGUAUCCUUUCCGAUUUUAAAUUACUUCAACAUCUGUUAAGAACUGGAUAAAGCCCAGAUCACUGCAGCCAUAACUUUUCCUCUGGUCUUUUCUCAUGGUGACCCGAUCCCCAUCUCUCCCUCUAAUAACUGUGUCCUUUUGUAUGGAGUGAGGGACUGAGGACAUAUUUAGCAUUCUUUUUUUAUGCUUUUGGAAUAGCAAAUAAUUGUCAAGUGCCUGUGUAGCAAUUAAAAUGGACUUGAAGCAAAAUGCACAAUGAGAAUUGGAAGUGAGAUGAUGAUGAUAAUAAAAGGUGUUGUGUAUAAUAAAGAUCUGGCA